ACGUAGGGUGCGAGCGUUAAUCGGAAUUACUGGGCGUAAAGCGUGCGCAGGCGGUUUUGUAAGCCAGAUGUGAAAUCCCCGGGCUUAACCUGGGAAUGGCAUUUGGGACUGCAAGGCUUGAGUGCGGCAGAGGAGACUGGAAUUCCUGGUGUAGCAGUGAAAUGCGUAGAUAUCAGGAGGAACACCGAUGGCGAAGGCAGCCCCCUGGGAUAACACUGACGCUCAUGCACGAAAGCGCGGGGAGCAAACAGGA
rnacentral:rRNA from 1 species